GGGAGACAUUUCUAGCCGGCGCAAUGAGGUCUUGGACAGGUGGCGACGUCUGAAAGCCCAAAUGAUUGAGAAAAGGUCAAAGCUAGGAGAAUCUCAAACCCUCCAACAGUUCAGCCGGGAUGUGGAUGAGAUUGAGGCUUGGAUCAGUGAAAAAUUGCAAACAGCGAGUGAUGAGUCAUACAAGGAUCCCACCAACAUCCAGGUAAGCUGAAGUGACUGGGUGUUGGUCUUGAUGUAGCCUUAUGUUAUUGAGUAGAUUUUGUUAAAUAAAGCAUUUAUAAAACAAUCUCCUUGCACCCAUGGGAAGUCAGUGAAAAAUAUUUUAGUAAGCCAGCCAGUGGUAAAGCCCUACUCAAGUUUCGCGGCCAUUUAAAAGUUGCCUUCCUCAUUUGUCUUCAUUAAAACUAUUUCUGCUGUAAUAAAAGUCUAUAGAAUCCCCCUUCUAUUACUGUUCCCAAAUGCUGAGCUUCCCGGGGGA
rnacentral:sRNA from 1 species